rnacentral:rRNA from 1 species
GAACGCUGGCGGCGUGCUUAACACAUGCAAGUCGAACGGAAAGGCCCCUUUGGGGGUACUCGAGUGGCGAACGGGUGAGUAACACGUGAGUAACCUGCCCUUGACUUCGGGAUAACUUCAGGAAACUGGGGCUAAUACCGGAUAGGAAUCCUUGCUGCAUGGUGGGGGUUGGAAAGCUUCGGCGGUUUUGGAUGGACUCGCGGCUUAUCAGCUUGUUGGUGGGGUAGUGGCUUACCAAGGCUUUGACGGGUAGCCGGCCUGAGAGGGCGACCGGCCACAUUGGGACUGAGAUACGGCCCAGACUCCUACGGGAGGCAGCAGUGGGGAAUAUUGCACAAUGGGCGGAAGCCUGAUGCAGCAACGCCGCGUGCGGGAUGACGGCCUUCGGGUUGUAAACCGCUUUCAGCAGGGGCGAAGCUUGUGGUGACGGUACCUGCAGAAGAAGCACCGGCUAACUACGUG